ACAUGCAAAAAAGGCCAUCCAAAUGUAGAGUGUAAAUGACUUCUAUGUAAAUCAUUUAUAACUAGCCCCACUUACAGGCAUCCAAUCAACCUCUUAUAUAAUACUGAGACAGCAAAUGACAUUUGAUAAGUAGGAUUCAAACAUUGUAAGCAUGCCAGAUAUUUCUUAAUUUAAACAGACUAAACUGUGGAAUCCACUGCCACCCAUUCAGAGUGACAAAAUCUGAUAUAUGGACACUUCUUUUUUUUCUUGAAUUAGGACCAUUGGAUAAAUAAGUGUCAUAAUCCCAAUGUUAGAUAAUCACCUGUGACCAGGGGUUAAUGGGGUUAACAGGAGUCCCCUGUAACCCCAAGUUCCAUCGGGGCCGCCUUGUUGUCUGGGUUCUAUCCAAUCCACCCAUCACAAAAGAUAUGGAGAGUUGUCCUAUCACUGUGAAUUUUGGUCUACAGCGCAUCCACAAAGAGGCCCCAACAGAUCAGAGUCUCGGGUCAUCGCCAUCUUUUUUGCCUAUCCUGAGAAUUUAGAAGUGAGCUGCAUAGAACCUCUUUGGUAGAAACCUGAAUAUCGGCAAUCCUUUUGAACAGUUCUGCACUGAACAUCCAAGAUUUGCACAUGCACGUUUUAAGAUUCCUCAUUACAAGUUUAAAAGGUAACCUCCUUAGUCAGUGUUUGGAUGUAAUAGCUGUGGAGGGAUUUACAAUCCAACAUGAUGUGAUUAAUGGGUAGUGAGGUUAUCUGACUUGAGGUUUGGGGACGUCCAAACAUACUCUUGAAUGAUCUUUCUAAUGGUUUCUUAACCAGGUAUGUUAUGAUCAAGAAGAUUCGUUUGGCUAAGCAAACGGAGAAAUUCAAACGGACGGCACAUCAAGAGAUGGCUUUGAUUGCAAAGCUAAGGAAUCCAUAAAUAUGCGAGUAUAAAGACGCAUGGGUGGAGAAGGGUUGCUAUGUAUGCAUCAUAACAAGCUAUUGUGAAGGAGGAGACAUGUAAGUUACAUCUAGAGAUUUCUAUCCUUUUAAAAGACCUAUCACAGUAAUGGUUACUUGUAUAACUUUAAACAACUGAAACUCAAAACUAUUCAAAUCAUCUCUAUCCACAAUGUAGAGUCAUUGGGCAACAUUUUGA